CAAGCGAUAAUUUAACUAAAGAAUUUUGGCCUUGGGUGUCAGUAGUGGGAGUGAAAUUCUCUCUCGCUUGA
rnacentral:tRNA from 1 species